CUGCCUUCGGGAUAUGCUGCUGAACACAACCAUAUUUUUUUAAUCUUAAUUAUUUUAUGGAUAUAUAUUUUUUUUAAUUUUUUUCCAACGUUUUUAUUUAUUUUUGGGACAGAGAGAGACAGAGCAUGAACGCGGGAGGUGCAGAGAGAGAGGGAGACACAGAAUCGGAAACAGGCUCCAGGCUCCGAGCCAUCAGCCCCAGAGCCCGACGCGGGGCUCGAACUCACGGACCGCGAGAUUGUGACCUGGCUGAAGCCGGACGCCCAACCGACUGCGCCACCCAGGCGCCCCUGGAUAUAUUUAAAUCUACAAGAACAGGUGGAGCUUCAUCUACGUGAAACAGAAAUGGACAAGCCAGUAUCAACGCUUCCAUCUACCCCAUCCCUUCACAUCUGCCGCCUUCUUGGUCUGUGCAGUUCAUCACGUGACCUCGAGGCCAUCCAUUUAGAAGCCUGGGUGCUUUCCUGUGAGGCUUGAGGCCCCUUGGGCAGAGUCUUCUACAUCAUCUAUCUUCAUGCACCUAGAAGGAUACCUC
rnacentral:lncRNA from 1 species